rnacentral:rRNA from 1 species
GCAUAUCAAUAAGCGGAGGAAAAGAAAAUAACAAUGAUUCCCCUAGUAACUGCGAGUGAAGAGGGAUAAGCUCAAAUUUUAAAUCUGUCAGGUGUUACCUGACCGAGUUGUAAUUUGAAGAAGCGUUUUCCGCGCGUUCUGACCAGCCCAAGUUCCUUGGAACAGGGCAUCAUGGAGGGUGAGAAUCCCGUUCGGUUGGUCAGGUGCGUUCUACGAUACGCUUUCAAAGAGUCAAGUUGUUUGGGAUUGCAGCUUAAAAUGGGAGGUAAAUUUCUCCUAAGGCUAAAUAACGGCGAGAGACCGAUAGCGAACAAGUACCGUGAGGGAAAGAUGAAAAGCAUUUUGAAAAGAAAGUCAAAUAGCACGUGAAAUUGUUGAAAGGGAAACGAUUGAAGUCAGUCGUACCGAUGGGUAUUCAGCUUUUCGGGUGCGAUUAUGUUGGGUGUUGGGGAGCUUAACCGCCCUCGCGCCUGCGUAUUUGUGCCCCUGAGGUGUACUUGUCCGUAUGGUAGGUUAACAUCAAUUUUGGUCGUCAUAAAAUGGCGGGGGGAAUGUAGCUUCGAUCUCGUAUUGAAGUGUUAUAGCCCCUGGUAGAUGUGGUGAUCGGGAUUGAGGAUUGCAACGAACCCUUCGGGGCUACCUGCCUGGCCUCUGGUGGUCGCUCUGGUACCGAAAGCGUGCUUACGGUCAUCAUGAGUUGGUUGUCAAAAGGUUAGAACGGGAUAAUUUCGUUAAGGAUGUUGACGUAAUGGCUUUAAACGAC